rnacentral:rRNA from 1 species
AUGUCUCAGUGCAAGCCAAAUUAAGGUGAAACCGCGAAAGGCUCAUUAAAUCAGUUAUGGUUCCUUAGAUUGUACAUCAGUUACUUGGAUAACUGUGGUAAUUCUAGAGCUAAUACAUGCAAACUGAGUCCCGACUCUUAAUAAGGGAAGGGAUGCUUUUAUUAGAUCAAAACCAAUGAGGCCUUAGGGUCUGAAUACCUUGGUGACUCUGAAUAACUCUUUUGUGCUGAUCGCAUGGUCAAGUACCGGCGACGCAUCUUUCAAAUGUCUGCCUUAUCAACUUACGAUGGUAGGUUCGGCGCCUACCAUGGUUGUAACGGGUAACGGGGAAUUAGGGUUCGAUUCCGGAGAGGGAGCCUGAGAGACAGCUACCACAUCCAAGGAAGGCAGCAGGCGCGCAAAUUACCCACUCCCAGCACGGGGAGGUAGUGACGAAAAAUAACGAUGCAGAACUCUUUCCGAGGCUCUGCAAUCGGAAUGAGUACACUCUAAAUCAUUUAACAA